ACGUCUACAUUAGAUACCCCCGUAGUCCCAGCCGUAAACUAUGCGCGUUAGGUGUAUCGGUGACCACGAGUCACCGAGGUGCCGAAGGGAAACCGUGAAACGUGCCGCCUGGGAAGUACGGUCGCAAGGCUGAAACUUAAAGGAAUUGGCGGGGAGCACCACAACAGGUGGAGCCUGCGGUUUAAUUGGACUCAACGCCGGGAAGCUCACCGGAUAGGACAGCAGAAUGAUUGCCGGGCUGAAGACCCUGCAUGACUAGCUG
rnacentral:rRNA from 1 species